rnacentral:rRNA from 1 species
GAUGAACGCUGGCGGCGUGCCUAAUACAUGCAAGUCGAGCGAACAGACGAGGAGCUUGCUUCUCUGAUGUUAGCGGCGGACGGGUGAGUAACACGUGGAUAACCUACCUAUAAGACUGGGAUAACUUCGGGAAACCGGAGCUAAUACCGGAUAAUAUUUUGAACCGCAUGGUUCAAUAGUGAAAGACGGUCUUGCUGUCACUUAUAGAUGGAUCCGCGCUGCAUUAGCUAGUUGGUAAGGUAACGGCUUACCAAGGCAACGAUGCGUAGCCGACCUGAGAGGGUGAUCGGCCACACUGGAACUGAGACACGGUCCAGACUCCUACGGGAGGCAGCAGUAGGGAAUCUUCCGCAAUGGGCGAAAGCCUGACGGAGCAACGCCGCGUGAGUGAUGAAGGUCUUCGGAUCGUAAAACUCUGUUAUUAGGGAAGAACAAAUGUGUAAGUAACUGUGCACAUCUUGACGGUACCUAAUCAGAAAGCCACGGCUAACUACGUG